rnacentral:rRNA from 1 species
AAUGAACGUUGGCGGCGUGGAUUAGGCAUGCAAGUCGUGCGAUAACCCCGCAAGGGGGGAAAGCGGCGAAAGGGAGAGUAACGCGUGGGUACCUGCCCCCUGGUCCGGAAUAGCUGCGGCAAACCGCCGGUAAUGCCGGAUAAUAUCCUCGGAUCAAAGGUGUGAUUCAGCCGAGGGAGGGGCCCGGGUUUUAUUAGCUAGUUGGUAGGGUAAUGGCCUACCAAGGCGACGAUGGAUAACGGGUGUGAGAGGAUGGCCCGGAUCACUGGGACUGAGACACUGCCCAGACACCUACGGGUGGCUGCAGUCGAGAAUCUUCGGCAAUGGGCGCAAGCCUGACCGAGCGACGCCGCGUGCGAGAUGAAGGCCUUCGGGUUGUAAACCGCUGUCGUAGAGGAGGAAAUGCCAUGGGGUUCUCUCCAUGGUUUGACCUAUUCUAGGAGGAAGGACGGGCUAACUUCGUGCCAGCCGCCGCGGUAA